AUAACGAACUCUUCUUCUUGCUUAAACUAGCACUCUCUUUCUAUCUACCUAUUACAUUUUUCUUUCUAACUACAUCUGCUUCCUAAGUUUAUCAUCGAAAGAAAAAACAAAUCCUUUCCUUCAGUUUUCCCCUUCAUUCCUCCCUUUACACCCUCAGCUAAACGUUCCUAGUACUUCAGGACAGAAUCAACGGUUAAAUUCC
rnacentral:sRNA from 1 species